GAGCAAUGACGUCAAAAUAUAAAAUGGCGUUAGUUGCCUUGAAGGUUGGCAAUACAAAAUAAGCGAUUCUCCGUGCCUAUUAAGUCUUUCUCAUAUUGAUCGUGGCCUCGAACAAGUCGCUACAUU
rfam:Brassica oleracea var. oleracea cultivar TO1000 chromosome C3, whole genome shotgun sequence